rnacentral:rRNA from 1 species
AUUGAACGCUGGCGGCAUGCCUUACACAUGCAAGUCGAACGGCAGCACGGGGGCAACCCUGGUGGCGAGUGGCGAACGGGUGAGUAAUGCAUCGGAACGUAUCCUGGAGUGGGGGAUAACGUAGCGAAAGUUACGCUAAUACCGCAUAUUCUCUGAGGAGGAAAGUGGGGGACCGCAAGGCCUCACGCUUUAGGAGCGGCCGAUGUCGGAUUAGCUAGUUGGUGGGGUAAAGGCCCACCAAGGCGACGAUCGAUAGCUGGUCUGAGAGGAUGAUCAGCCACACUGGAACUGAGACACGGUCCAGACUCCUACGGGAGGCAGCAGUAGGGAAUAUUGGACAAUGGGGGCAACCCUGAUCCAGCCAUGCCGCGUGAGUGAAGAAGGCCCUCGGGUUGUAAAGCUCUUUUGUCCGGAAAGAAAGCAAUCGGUUAAUACCCGGUUGUUCUGACGGUACCGGAAGAAUAAGCACCGGCUAACUUCGUGCCAGCAGCCGCGGUAAU